UACGAAGGGAGCUAGCGUUACUCGGAAUCAUUGGGCGUAAAGCGUGCGUAGGCGGUCUUGUAAGUUAGGAGUGAAAUCCUGGGGCUCAACCCCAGAACUGCUCUUAAUACUGCUCGACUAGAAUACUUGAGGGGACAGUAGAAUUCCUAGUGUAGGGGUGAAAUCCGUAGAUAUUAGGAGGAAUACCAGUGGCGAAAGCGACUGUCUGGCAAGUUAUUGACGCUGUUGCACGAAAGCGUGGGGAGCAAACAGGAUUAGAUACCCUGGUAGUCCACGCCAUAAACGAUGAGUGCUAGAUAUCAGAUUUAUAUUUGGUGUCGUAGCUAACGCGUUAAGCACUCCGCCUGGGAAGUACGGUCGCAAGAUUA
rnacentral:rRNA from 1 species